UAACCUGGACAGCAGCAGGCCAGAGCUGAGCUCCCCAGUGUGGCGAAGCACAGGGGCUAAAGCACAAAACAGUCCGGGAGGGCAGGACUGGAGAGCUCAGUCAACUAGCAGACAAAGGCACGCAGGCUGCACAGCGGCUCACACCGGAGACAAGGUUCUGUGGUGAGAUAAUUGCUAAACAAGCCUUCCUGAAUUAUGGCCCCCGGAAGCCAAAAGGCCAUAGAUACCAUACACGGACACCAAAAAUAAGAGCGGGGAAGGGUGAAAGGGGAGGGGGAGACAGACCGAGAACCCCGGAUCGAGGCCCGGAGCUGGGGAGGGACUCCUGCGGGUUAGGAGUGAAAGCAGGCAGCGUCUUGCAGAGCAGAGCAGGGCAGAGCAGAGGAGAGAUCGCAGCCUCCCUGUCGCUGCCUCCGGUGUCCAGUGCUUCGCAGGGGGCUGGACAAGUAAAUCCACUUCGCGCUCUGCCUCCGCCUCCACUGCGAUGCCCGGCCUCACCCCCAGCCCCAGUAGGCGGGGCCCGGUGACCGAGACUUGAGCCGGCCCGGACGGGGGUGUCCUCCGUGACUCGGUCAGGGGCGAGCGGCCAGCCGCCGGAGCGAUGAGACUAAGUCGCCGGACACUGCAUGGAUCAAAGCUUAAAAGAUGCAGCUGCUGCUGGGUAGCAGGGCUGUUGUCCAGCUGCUUAGAAGACUGAGGCACGAGUGCUUGAGCCCAAGAGUUUGAUGCCAGCCUUAGCAACAUGGUGAGGCCCUGCCUCAAAAAAUAAAACAAUUACAAGA